AGGUCCCAAGUUCAUGAACCUGUGUCUCUCUCUCUCUCUCUCUCUCUCUCUCUGCGUGCCUCUGUGUACAUAUAAACACCACCUUGCCGCUCCAGCUUUGAAGAGUACGCCAGCCAAGACCCUUCUUCCUUAGGUGCAGGAAUGGAAGGUUUCAAUGCGGGGUCGUCCUCCACCUGCUCCUCCUCCGACUCGGACUCCUCCCUGUCCAAUAACGCCGCCGCCGCCAGGCCGGAUCGGAUCAAGGGCCCCUGGAGCGCCGAGGAGGACCAGGUCCUGACCCGCCUGGUGGGCCGGUACGGCCCCCGGAACUGGUCCCUCAUCAGCCGCCACAUCCAGGGCCGCUCCGGCAAGUCCUGCCGCCUCCGCUGGUGCAACCAGCUCAGCCCCGCCGUCGAGCACCGCCCCUUCUCCGCCGACGAGGACGAGGCCAUCCUCGCCGCCCACGCCCGCUACGGGAACCGCUGGGCCACCAUCGCCCGCAUGCUCCCCGGGAGGACCGACAACGCGGUCAAGAACCACUGGAACUCCACCCUCAAGAGGCGGCUCCGGGAGGGGCAGGCGGAGCGGCACUCGAGCGGCGGGGGAGCGGCGGCGGCGGCGGCGGCAGCAGCAGCCCCGGCGCCGGCUCCGGCUGGUGGUGCGCGGGCAACGGCGAGGACGAAGACCCGAUGACGGCGUUGACCCUGGGGCCGCCGGGAGGGGGCGGGGACGCGGCGGCGGAGGGGCGGAGGGGGAGGGUUGCCGCAGCCGGAGGGGCAGUUCUGGGACGUCAUGAAGGACGUGAUCGCGAAGGAGGUGAGGGAGUACAUGAGCUCCGCCCUGGCCGAGAGCGGCGAGACGGGGUCGGCAUUCCAUUGAAGCGGGGGUUUCCCCCUCUUUUUUUUUUUUUCUCUUCUUAUUUUUAUCUAACGGAGAAUUUAAAGUGUAAAUACAAUCUGAUAAUGUGUGGUACGAAGGUGUACGACGUUUCCAAUUUUUAUUACUGAAGUUGUAGUUUUAACUUAUACUAGUCUUCUUGGACGCGGUGCCCAA